rnacentral:rRNA from 1 species
AAUGGGUCAGCGACUUAUAUUCUGUAGCAAGGUUAACCGAAUAGGGGAGCCGAAGGGAAACCGAGUCUUAACUGGGCGUUAAGUUGCAGGGUAUAGACCCGAAACCCGGUGAUCUAGCCAUGGGCAGGUUGAAGGUUGGGUAACACUAACUGGAGGACCGAACCGACUAAUGUUGAAAAAUUAGCGGAUGACCUGUGGCUGGGGGUGAAAGGCCAAUCAAACCGGGAGAUAGCUGGUUCUCCCCGAAAGCUAUUUAGGUAGCGCCUCGUGAACUCAUCUUCGGGGGUAGAGCACUGUUUCGGCUAGGGGGUCAUCCCGACUUACCAACCCGAUGCAAACUGCGAAUACCGAAGAAUGUUAUCACGGGAGACACACGGCGGGUGCUAACGUCCGUCGUGAAGAGGGAAACAACCCAGACCGCCAGCUAAGGUCCCAAAGUCAUGGUUAAGUGGGAAACGAUGUGGGAAGGCCCAGACAGCCAGGAUGUUGGCUUAGAAGCAGCCAUCAUUUAAAGAAAGCGUAAUAGCUCACUGGUCGAGUCGGCCUGCGCGGAAGAUGUAACGGGGCUAAACCAUGCACCGAAGCUGCGGCAGCGGCGCUUAUGCGUUGUUGGGUAGGGGAGCGUUCUGUAAGCCGUUGAAGGUGUGCUGUGAGGCAUGCUGGAGGUAUCAGAAGUGCGAAUGCUGACAUAAGUAACGAUAAAGCGGGUGAAAAGCCCGCUCGCCGGAAGACCAAGGGUUCCUGUCCAACGUUAAUCGGGGCAGGGUGAGUCGACCCCUAAGGCGAGGCCGAAAGGCGUAGUCGAUGGGAAACAGGUUAAUAUUCCUGUACUUGGUGUUACUGCGAAGGGGGGACGGAGAAGGCUAUGUUAGCCGGGCGACGGUUGUCCCGGUUUAAGCAUGUAGGCGGAGGUUCCAGGUAAAUCCGGUACCUUUUAACGCUGAGGUGUGAUGACGAGGCACUACGGUGCUGAAGUAACAAAUGCCCUGCUUCCAGGAAAAGCCUCUAAGCAUCAGGUAACACGAAAUCGUACCCCAAACCGACACAGGUGGUCAGGUAGAGAAUACCAAGGCGCUUGAGAGAACUCGGGUGAAGGAACUAGGCAAAAUGGUGCCGUAACUUCGGGAGAAGGCACGCUGACAUGUAGGUGAAGCCCCUGCGGGUGGAGCUGAAGUCAGUCGAAGAUACCAGCUGGCUGCAACUGUUUAUUAAAAACACAGCACUGUGCAAACACGAAAGUGGACGUAUACGGUGUGACGCCUGCCCGGUGCCGGAAGGUUAAUUGAUGGGGUUAUCCGUAAGGAGAAGCUCUUGAUCGAAGCCCCGGUAAACGGCGGCCGUAACUAUAACGGUCCUAAGGUAGCGAAAUUCCUUGUCGGGUAAGUUCCGACCUGCACGAAUGGCGUAAUGAUGGCCAGGCUGUCUCCACCCGAGACUCAGUGAAAUUGAACUCGCUGUGAAGAUGCAGUGUACCCGCGGCAAGACGGAAAGACCCCGUGAACCUUUACUAUAGCUUGACACUGAACAUUGAGCCUUGAUGUGUAGGAUAGGUGGGAGGCUUUGAAGCGUGGACGCCAGUCUGCGUGGAGCCAACCUUGAAAUACCACCCUUUAAUGUUUGAUGUUCUAACCUGGCGCCGU